CUUGGCCACCCAAACCUGCAAACCCUAGACCACAACACAGCAGUACAGCACGGCGACGGGAGGAGGCGUGCGGCGGCGUGACGUGCGGCGGUCGGCGGGGGCUGCGUGCAGCGUGCGGCUGCCGGCGGCGGGAGCCGUGGCGGCGUGCGGCGCGGCCGUGGCUUGCAGCAGCGUGCGGCGCGGCGGCGGCGACGGCGACCGGUGAGGCGGUGAGCCGCCAAGGCCAAGGCGCCAAGCCCGUGACCGGCAGGCGCACCGUGACCGACGGGCGACGGCGUGCCGCGUGCGGCAGCCGGCGCGGCAGCCUGCAGGGGCCCAGGAGGCAGCCAGGCAGGAGGCUGCUCCAGGCCGUCAGCCGAGCAGGAGCAGGCGCUGCACAGCUGCAGCCUGCAGGUCGGCGUCCGCCGUUCCACGCUGAGGCCCGAGGCAGCCGGCGGCUGCGCGCUGCCGCUGCGGCCGUGCGGCAUCCUGCUCGCCGGCGACUGCCUGACCUGCAAAUUCCGGACAAGCACAUUAGCACACUAAGGACAAGGACAUCAUCAAUUAUUUCCAAAAUAUCAAGCGUCGAAAAGUUAAUAUCUAAAUUUUGUGCUGUCUAUAUAACCAUCGUAAAACAAAGAAGAAGCACAAGCCACAGCUUCAUACAAAGCAAUCACACAAAUGGGCAAGCAGAUGCCGAACUGUAGCCGUGGACUUCUGCUUCUGUUGUUGGCCCUUCUAGGCUGUUUUAGCAUUCCUGGCCACGUGUAUGGUAAAAAUCUGGAUUACACCAGGAGUGCAUCCAUGAAUGAAGGACGCAACAAUGUCAAUAUAAAUGGUUUGGUACCCGUACCAGGCAACAUUUUCUCCCCAUCGAAGGUCUGCUGUAGAAAUGUAUGCUACCCUAGCUUGCAAGCCUGUGAGGCAAAUUGCAAACCAAUUGCUUGAUCGGCUUAUCAAGCCUGUAAUACUAAAGAAAUGAUAAUAAUAUUGUCCGUUGUUCACCAAUCAAGAGAAUGAUCAAUCUCCUCAUAGAUGAA